GACGAACGCUGGCGGCGUGCCUAAUACAUGCAAGUAGGACGCAGUUGCGAACGAGUGAGUAACGCGUAGGUAACUACCUAUUAGAGGGGGAUAACUAUUGGAAACGAUAGCUAAUACCGCAUACUAGUAGAUGGCACUGCGUUGUAUUAGCUAGUAGGUAGGGUAAUGGCCUACCUAGGCAACGAUACAUAGGCGACCUGCGGAGGUGGACGGCCACACUUGGAAGGGGACACGGCCCAGACUCCCUCGGGAGGCAACAGGAGGGAAUCUGCGGCAAUUGGGGGAACCCUGACCGCGCAACGCCGCGUGGGUUAAGAAGGUGUUCGGAUCGUAAAGCUCUUUUGUUAAGGAAGCGGUACUUAACCAGAAAGGGACGGCUAACUACGUGCCAGCAGCCGCGGUAAUUC
rnacentral:rRNA from 1 species